GCAAAACGCGAAGAACCUUACCAGGUCUUGACAUCCCUCUGACCGGUCCGUAACGGGACCUUUCCUUCGGGACAGAGGAGACAGGUGGUGCAUGGUUGUCGUCAGCUCGUGUCGUGAGAUGUUGGGUUAAGUCCCGCAACGAGCGCAACCCCUAUCCUUAGUAGCCAGCAGUUCGGCUGGGCACUCUAGGGAGACUGCCAGGGAUAACCUGGAGGAAGGCGGGGAUGACGUCAAAUCAUCAUGCCCCUUAUGAUCUGGGCUACACACGUGCUACAAUGGUGACUACAAAGGGAAGCAGCCUCGUGAGAGUGAGCAAAUCCCAAAAAGGUCAUCCCAGUUCGGAUUGUAGUCUGCAACUCGACUACAUGAAGCUGGAAUCGCUAGUAAUCGCGAAUCAGAAUGUCGCGGUGAAUACGUUCCCGGGUCUUGUACACACCG
rnacentral:rRNA from 1 species